GAUGAACGCUGGCGGCGUGCCUAAUACAUGCAAGUCGAGCGAACAGAUAAGGAGCUUGCUCCUUUGACGUUAGCGGCGGACGGGUGAGUAACACGUGGGUAACCUACCUAUAAGACUGGGAUAACUUCGGGAAACCGGAGCUAAUACCGGAUAACAUUUGGAACCGCAUGGUUCUAAAGUGAAAGAUGGUUUUGCUAUCACUUAUAGAUGGACCCGCGCCGUAUUAGCUAGUUGGUAAGGUAACGGCUUACCAAGGCAACGAUACGUAGCCGACCUGAGAGGGUGAUCGGCCACACUGGAACUGAGACACGGUCCAGACUCCUACGGGAGGCAGCAGUAGGGAAUCUUCCGCAAUGGGCGAAAGCCUGACGGAGCAAAGCCGCGUGAGUGAUGAAGGGUUUCGGCUCGUAAAACUCUGUUAUUAGGGAAGAACAAACGUGUAAGUAACUGUGCACGUCUUGACGGUACCUAAUCAGAAAGCCACGGCUAACUACGUG
rnacentral:rRNA from 1 species